UUGGUUUGAGACGGUUUGAAUGAAUGUGUGAACCCCAAGCAGACCAGAGAUCACUCCAAAAGCAGGAAGCGGACUAAAGCGCAGGGGAUUCUGGGUAAAUACAACCAAAACAAACCAAGAUGUUAGCCUAACGCUAGCAGGAGAAAUGGCUUGUGGUCUUUUACUAGGAACAGAAGAGAUUUUCUCCAGCUGCUAAAAUGUGACACUCUGUUUUUGUUUUCAUUUCAUGAAGAAGUUAAGUUGCACUCAGUGUCUUCUUAAGAAGUUUUUGUGUUGUUUCUUUCAGUGGUGCUUGGUGCAGCGCCCCCACAGGUAGGGAGGGACAGGUUUUUCAAAGAGUUUGGUUCGUUUAACUGCAGUGGGGAAGAGAAGCACAGCAGCUCAAAAUGUAACGAUGUCUGCGAUCGAACCAAGUCUACCAGACUAUCAGGUGUGAAAACAGCCCAACUGUUUUUUGUUUCAUUACAUUUGUUGCAUAUAGUUUUGUGACGUGUUGUGUUUGUGACUGUUUUUGUUCACCAGUCUUCUAUGAUUGGAGGAUAGGAUAUGAGAAACCCAUAUAAGUAGCACCGAUUUAUUUCUCCUGAUGUUUCACAAGAUCUAUAUUAUACACUGCAAAAACACAAAAUCUUACCAAGUGUUUUUAGUCUAGUUUGUGGUGCAAGCAUCUUAGUCCUAUUUCUAGUGUGCAAACUUUUCAGCAAGAUAUAUGAGCUUAUUUUAAAUAAUUCCUUAUGUACUAGUUCACAUAACACGAUAAAAAUGUCCUGUAAAAUAAUCUUCCUGUGGAAGUAGAACUUUUUCAUCAAUAUUAAGAAAUUUUAACUUAAUCAACCUCCUAUAUCUUGGUGAAGAUUUACUUGGAAGUUUGUUUUUGUCUUAUUUCAAAUACAUUUGCAGAAGGAACCAGACCAAAAUGACUUGGUAAUGUUUUGUGUUUUUGCAGAGCUGCUAAUAAAUUGACGAGGUCUGAGUGUGCAUGAACUGCAGUUUGCACUUUGACCUGCCUGGCGAAAGCAGAGCAGUUCCCCCACACGGCAUUGAACCUUGUGUCACAUAAAAACAUUCCCAUCUGCGAUUAACUCUGCAAAUUCAGGCCCUUUGUAGGAACUAUUUGUCACAUUUUCAUCUCUAAUUAAAAUGCAGAUGCACUUUCUGACCUGACAGAAAGCCGCCACUCGCUCGCUCACAAACACAAACAAGGACAAAUUCAACUGCUUGAUUGGUCCUUGGUGACUGAGAGGCAAAUCUUCCAUCUCCUGCUGGCAGCUUCAGCGAGCGUCAAGGUCACUCCUCCAUUCAGAGGCAUCCAGCAUGUUUUGAUAAACACCGAGGGGAAACGACCUUGAUCGGCUGCCAUUUUUUUCUCCUUCUCAUGCACUGAAGCUAACGCACAAGUUGAAUCUGGCUAUUUAAUUAAGACUUUCAGCACCCAAGAAAUAAAUAUUGUGCAUCUGUUUGCCCCUGACUUGUCCUCUGAUAUCUGCAUUUUAAGAGAGCGCUGAUCCCUGCAAGACAUUCUCACCUCAAAAUAGUCAACAAUUGGCAGUGGAGUGAAAAGCAAGGCGACCAUUUUCAAGUUAAAAUGUUUUUUUCUUUUGUUUCAUCAGGAGUUUGAACCAAAACUACCAGCUCUGCUGGUUCUCUAACUCACAGAAUCGUCCUAAAAGUGAUUUUAGCUGCAGGACGUAUUUAGUUAUGGUCUCACAAGGUCAAAUCUUGGGGUCAAAGUGAAAUAUUGCUGAUUAUCAGCCCACACAUGACCAGAUGGCAAUGAGAGCAAGUUGAUAUUGGUAAAAACAACAACAAAAAUAUUUUCCCAACACAACACAGUUGUAGUAUGAACUACUACAACAAUAUUAUCAUUUAUCACAAUAAAUUCUGGAACAGUUUAUUAUCCAGCAAAAUUAGUUAUUGU